rnacentral:rRNA from 1 species
UACAGAGGUCUCGAGCGUUAGGCGGAAUCACUGGGCUUAAAGCGUGUGUAGGCGGAUUGCUAAGUACCUUGUGAAAUCCCAUGGCUCAACCAUGGAACUGCUGGGCAUACUGGCGAUCUUGUGCCACCUAGGGGCGAGCGGAACAGAUGGUGGAGCGGUGAAAUGCGUAGAUAUCAUCUGGAACGCCAAUGGUGAAAACAGCUCGCUGGGGGUGUGCAGACGCUGAGACACGAAAGCCAGGGGAGCGAACGGG